GGUCCCAUCGUCUAGCGGUUAGGACACCAGAUUCUCAUUCUGGGAACACGAGUUCGAUUCUCGUUGGGACUGCCA
rnacentral:tRNA from 1 species